AACGAACGCUGGCGGCAUGCCUAACACAUGCAAGUCGAACGAGACCUUCGGGCCUAGUGGCGCACGGGUGCGUAACGCGUGGGAACCUGCCCUUAGGUUCGGAAUAACUCCCCGAAAGGGGUGCUAAUACCGGAUAAUGUCUUCGGACCAAAGAUUUAUCGCCUUUGGAUGGGCCCGCGUUGGAUUAGCUAGUUGGUAGGGUAAAAGCCUACUAAGGCGACGAUCCAUAGCUGGUCUGAGAGGAUGAUCAGCCACACUGGGACUGAGACACGGCCCAGACUCCUACGGGAGGCAGCAGUGGGGAAUAUUGGACAAUGGGCGAAAGCCUGAUCCAGCAAUGCCGCGUGAGUGAUGAAGGCCUUAGGGUUGUAAAGCUCUUUUACCCGGGAUGAUAAUGACAGUACCGGGAGAAUAAGCUCCGGCUAACUCCGUG
rnacentral:rRNA from 1 species